ACUGCGGCCGGAGCGCAGUGAAUCGGAGCCGCGGACGGACGUUUUAUUUUUGUUAUUGGGGUUUUUGUUAUUCUUACACGGUUUCUGUGAUCAUGCAGUGGGCAGGUUUUCUUUUUGUAACGUUAGUUUCUUAAUUUUAUUCUGACCUGCUGUACUUCCCAAAGUUUCUAUUCGCAGUUAUGGCUUUUGGAGGUUUAUUUUCUUUAUAAAAACGAUAAACGCAGUCCACCAAGCUAUGAAGCCCGAUUGGAGGGUUAUGAAGUAUUUGUAAUACAAUUAACGUAAGGUAUUUUAUGUGUACCAUGGUAAUAUGAAGAAGAAAUUUUCUCACAGUUUCUACACAUUGUGUCUAAGCUGCAUUAAAAUACAACUGUGAUGAGUCGUACGUCUUUAUUUAGGCAUUUAUAUACAUCGUCUGAGAUUAUUUAGGUAUAAACCAUAGGAAGUAAUCUGCUAAUUGCAGCAGUGGUUAGAAAUAGCCCGUAACUCGUGGACUGUAACAUUUGCACGUUAAUUAGUCUAUAAUUUGCCUACAUUUCCAUUUUUCUCAAACAUAAUAUAAUAUAAAGAUUCAGCUAACUAACUAAUUUAAAAAAUCUGAUGUCUAAUGCACACAGCCAGGCGUGUCAUAAGUUAUUUGUUCAUACACUUGUUAUAUUAGAAAAAUACUAAUCAAAAAUAAAAGUUGACCCGAAUUUUACAUUUUUAUUUUUUAAUUGCACUUACAUCUGAAAUGUAUUUCAAACCUAGUAAAUUUGAGGGAGCAGCUAUAUAUUUUUAAAAAAAAAUAUUUUUUAAACAAGAUGUCAGUUUCAAAAACAUUAAUCGAAAAACCAUAUAAAAUACGUACUUAUCUUCCACUUAUGAAUGUGGUGCCCAGUAUUGAGGGGAUUUAGUCUGAACCAUUGAUAUAAAUGUAUAACUGGAUGAUUUGACAUUAAUAUCUCACUUUUCUUGUUGAACUCACGAUUGGCUGAAAUUCAUAAAGAUAAGUAUCCUAAUUAAAUCAUUCGUCAAUGUUUACAAGUAAAUGGUAAUGAGAGGACUCACUUUGUUAUGGACUGGUUGUGACAGUCUGUAUUAAUUGUUUAAAAUGACAGGAUCUUUUAUUUCAAUAUUUUUCCAGGAGGACGUGUGGGCAAAUCCCCCUUCUAGCGUAAGCAUAGUAAUACUACCGGAAGUAUGUUAAGAAAGUCAUAGGCCUGCUAUAGGAAACGCAUAAACAGACAACGGGAAGUGCCUUAACAAAGAAAAACUACAGAAAUAGCCAAAAACACGCGAAAUAUCCAGCAGAUGGAGACAAAAGCUAUAAAUACACUUUCAUCCCUCAACAGAGUCUUUAAUGAGGUCACAUGUUCAGGAAGUCUCAUGGCUCUGGAUUUCCAAUAGGGUCCAGGUAAGGACACUGCCGUUGUACCUGUUAAGGUACUUAACCUGCAUUGCUUCAGCAUAUAUCCAGCUGUAUAAAUGGAUACAAUGUAAA